rnacentral:rRNA from 1 species
CGAGGGGUACGUCCAGGGUAGGAGUGAAAUCCUGUAAUCCUGGACGGACCGCCGGUGGCGAAAGCGCCUCGAGAAGACGGAUCCGACGGUGAGGGACGAAAGCUUGGGUCACGAACCGGAUUAGAUACCCGGGUAGUCCAAGCUGUAAACGAUGCUCGCUAGGUGUGGCACAGGCUACGAGCCUGUGCUGUGCCGUAGGGAAGCCGAGAAGCGAGCCGCCUGGGAAGUACGUCUGCAAGGAUGAAACUUAAAGGAAUUGGCGGGGGAGCACUACAACCGGAGGAGCCUGCGGUUUAAUUGGACUCAACGCCGGACAUCUCACCAGCUCCGACAGUAGCAGUGACAGUCAGUGUGAUGAGCUUACCAGAGCUACUGAGAGGAGGUGCAUGGCCGCCGUCAGCUCGUACCGUGAGGCGUCCUGUUAAGUCAGGCAACGAGCGAGACCCGCAUCCUUAAUUGCCAGCAUGGCCCUUGUGGCUGAUGGGUACAUUAGGGAGACUGCCGCUGCCAAAGCGGAGGAAGGAACGGGCAACGGUAGGUCAGUAUGCCCCGAAUGAGCUGGGCGACACGCGGGCUACAAUGGCCGAGACAGUGGGACGCAACGCCGAGAGGCGACGCUAAUCUCCUAAACUCGGUCGUAGUUCGGAUUGAGGGCUGAAACUCGCCCUCAUGAAGCUGGAUUCGGUAGUAAUCGCGCCUCAGCAGGGCGCGGUGAAUACGUCCCUGCUCCUUGCACACACCGCCCGUCAAAGCACCCGAGUGAGGUCCGGAUGAGGCCAGGACUCCUGGUCGAAUCUGGGCUUCGCAAGGGGGCUUAAGUCGUAACAAGGUAGCCGUAGGGGAAUCUGCGGCUGGAUCACCUCCUAA